GGCGCGUGGCGGUGCGGGCGUGUGGUGGGGCGAGUGCGGGCCGGCGGGUGGGGGCCGCUCCGUCGGCACCGGAGUGACGCUGCACGAAAGCGCCGGGCAGGGAGGCCGGAGAGGCAGCGAGGAGGGCGGUCGCGUCCUUCUGAGCGGCGGCGGGAGGAUGAGCUGCCGGUGAAGGAGUUGUUCCCUGCUGCGGGGCGCGCGGGGCUGGCCGCUGCUCCCCUUCCCGCCACUUAGGCUCUAACGGAGCGUUCGAGUCUUUGGACGCGCGGCAAUUAGCAGGGCGGUAAAAAUGUCAGCCUGAUGUGCUCAGGUGAAAAACGGCGUGGAAGGUACAGUGGCGUGUGGUUAACUCGCCGCUGCGUGGCAGGAGAACGAGCGGCUCAGCCCGUGGAGCGGGGUGGCAUGGCAAGGAAAGCGGUGUCACCCACGUCCAUCGUUUCCAAUCGAGCAGUUCCACACGCACCUCUUAAUGAUGCAACGUUUCGAUCCUUUCCGUGCGGCCUUCCAAAUACAAACGGAGUAGUCGCAUCACCUGCCCGUGAAUAUCAGAGUGAGAACUUGCAGACAUUCGAUGGCAAAACGUGAGUGCUGUGAGGCACUGCUCCGUGUGAGUGCCUCAGUGGCAGCACAGACUGAAGUGCAGCAGAGUUGCCAACCUCCUGACUUCACUGCCAGGAAUGUAAAUCAACAUUAAGGAUGAUUUUUAAGAGAAAUAGCAAGUUAAACAUUUGUACAAACACAUCAUCAAAUAGAGGUUGUACCGCCUCUCUCUAAACCUCUUGCCUGCUGGCAAAAAUAAAACUGUUCCAGUGACAUUUUCCCUGCUCUGCUGUGACAAGGGCUGCAUAAAUAUAGACACCGUGGAUUAGAAUAGACUUCAGCAAUCUCCAACUUCCUUUCUAGCAGCCGCUUCUGCAGAGUUGCCCAUAGCUAUGGGUGAAAAACAGGGAGCCUAAGCUGGGGCAAAUCCUCUGCUACUACCAGGAGCUGAAGAGGUUGCUGCUCUUUGCCAAGAAAGUGUAGUCAGGUUGCUGUCACACAUAGGACAGGCAAGGACUGAUAUCCAGGGUCAGCAGGAGUGAUGCUUCUCAUGUGUGCAUGGCACUUCAAGUUUUGGGGUCCUAUGGGCCUCAAGAACAGCUUUUCUCUGAGUGCAUUUCACUUCUCAUCAGCAGGCAGCUGAAAAAUUGGUCUCACAUGGGUUAUGUGUGGAAAGCAGAACAAUAUGCCAAGACAAGAUGAAACAGAUGUUUCAGGUCUCCAUUACAAUUCAGACAGAAAUUUAAAUCAGCUGAAAACAUCAGAACAAAAUGCUUUGUAAGUAUUUCUCCACUAUCAGCUACUCAGGGGAUAGUUACAGGUAAUAUACCUUUCAGUAGCUAUUGCUUCCCUUGCAGCCUUUGAUGUGAUCUUGUUAAAGGUAGAUUCCUUUUAGGAAUGUGUGCAGAGAUCUAAAGCAAGUCAUCUGGAGCUCUGGGAGCCUGGCAUCCCACAGACUGGUUUCCAAACUUGCUCGAGAUAUUUGUGUAAAUAGGAACUGUUGACACAGAGAAUAUCACGAUGUAUCUCAAAAGUUGUGCUGUAUUUGUAUUUGUCCUUGUAUUCCAAUGAAAGGUUUAUCUUUCUGAAUUAGACUUUCUUCAAGCCUAUUCCAAAAUUAGAUGUAGAGAAGGAGCAAUAACAUCAGUAAAAAAGAUGAAGGGUCACCUCUUUCCUACCCUUACAGGCAGGACAUGACAGAUGCCAGUUGGAACAAUUUUCUACUAAAAAAAAUGAGUUUUGAGAGAACAAAUAUUUUCAUAGAAAGAGUUUGCUUUCCUCCAAAUAUGACUCCCUUUCAUAAACCCCAAAGACUUAAAAGCAAAAGAGAUUGGAUUGUUGGCAGUUUGGGGAUUCUUCCCCUCCCUUUCCCCCAGCAUUUUCCAAUGGAAAAUAUUCAGGGUUUGGGUUUUUAGCCCUUUGCUAAAAUGUCAACAUUUUCCAAAGGCUGAAGGAGGGAAAAAGAGAAGAAAAGAAAAACAUGUUCUGACCAGCUCCAGUCAGAGCCAAAUGGCUCAAUUCUGGAUAUGGUCAGGGAAGUAUGCUGGAGGGGAGAAAAUGGGAGCGCCUUGGUUCCAAGCGCAGUCUGGGCUGAGGACUGUGUAUCACAAUCCAUUUGUAUGAGUCAUUCCAGUCGACAUUUCACCAGGGGAGCAUGUGUAGUGGCUUUUAAGCACUUCAGGUCAAUAUGUUACUUGCAAACACUGCCUCACUGCUUACUACGGCCACUCUGGCUCUCUGUGUGCAUCUGGGAUGUGCACAGGUACAUUCUGUUCAAGUCCUCCAAUAUUUCCAUGACGUCUUUAACUCACAGAGACAACAAUAACACCUGGAACCUAUCCAGACCUGUGAUUUCAGCUCUCCCCCAUUCGGAAAAGAGGAGAAAGAAGUAGAACAAAGCCUACAAAAGCCUUGGACAGCUAUGGAAUUGGGAGAAGCACUGGUAGAACUAAGUUGACAUAAAGGCAGCUAAACUACUCAUGCAUGUGCAUGCACCAUCCUGCUUUUAGUGGAAAAGAAGUGGCUUCAUUUCUCCAAUGUGCUGCUGGUCCCCAGCUGCUUCCUCAGUCUCCAGAAAGCUGUCCCAGCAUUUGGGCACCUUCAAAUCUGAUGAAGAGAAGGACUGCCUUUCCUUCUGCCUAUCCAAGGUAUUUCCCAGAGCUGCAAUGAGAGCUCUUCUAUGGAAGACCCAGACUAGGUCUUUGUCCCCCUCUAGUGACUUGACUGCAAAAGAAGUUUUUGGAGUACUACCUCCGAGCAAGACAGUCACUACUUCGGGCCAGGAUGUUGAAUGGUUUCCUUUUCAAAGGCUAGUAGGAUAUCUAAGCAUCACGAGAAGGUCAUAUAUUUAUACACAUUGAAACAUUAUCCAUUAACAAGAUAAACAGUAAUUAGGAACUUGACUUUCUGCUCUAAUAAGCUGUGUGUGCCUGCUUUCCUCUCAUGGAGAAUGGCAGUCACAGACUUCACAUGACAACCGUGUAGUCCUGCAGGAGACCUCGCUAGGUCCACUGUCACCAGAGAAAGAGCACACACAGAGGGACUCCUAUAACCAAACACUUGCUGAGUCACAGCUCAGUCACCCCAGCACUUAGCAAGGCAUGCCAGCCAUCUGUCACCAGCACAUCCUCCUCACUGCUCUGUGACUCUGCGGGGAAAACAACAGGAGGCAGAUUACAUUGACUGAGAAGCCAGGCUCUCGUGCAUCUUGACUGAGUAAUUCCUGCCUCGCCUUCUAACCAGUGCUAAAGCCUUUGGCUCAUCUUCGUUUGGCCCUUUGUCGGGGAAGAUAGUGACAUGCAGGUUCAAACAUUGAGCGCUUUGGCUGACUAAUGAGUGACUCCAAACAAAGCCUGCUCUGGCAAGACAUUGAUAGUGUUGUGCAAAGCGUCCCUACUACAGACGAGUCAUCUACACUGGCCUACUCACCAGUGCUCUAAGUAAACCACAGUGUUCGAAAAAAAAAAAAAAAAACAAAAUAGAGGGAACCCUGUUUCCUACAGACUUGUGACCCAACUAUGUCCAGUAAGGAGGAGCAUGUGAGCAGAGAUCCUGUUGUGUCUCCUGUCCCAACUGACCUCCCUCCCGUGUUCUCCCUCCAUUUAGUUGUGACCUAAGGAUCUGCAGUCCUGGAGGGUACUUGUGGGGACACAGCCCCAGGAGUAGGGCGAGUUUCUUACCACGUUCCUGCACACCAAUCAGAUGCAGUUCUGCCCAGAUACGUCAGCCAACCUGGUCUUGUGCAAGAAGCUUGCUGGGGGUGUGUGUUUGCAUACCAUGUACUCAUGCAAGAUUUCACAAACUCUGUGCUGCUUACAGCCAGCCUUCACCACUGAGGUUCCUUGCCCUCCUCUCUUGCAUGUUUGAAAGGCUGUUUUCCCUAUUAGCUCCCCUCAAGGACAAGGCACCCACACCAGCAAUCUGACCGCCCUACUUCAUUCUAAAGUGAUGAAAGAGUGUGGAGUGGAUGGGGCCUUUUUUACUCUGGAGGAAAAAAGUGAACUCAAUGCCAGGCACAGAUCCCAGGCUGUGGAGUUCAAAUCGUACUCUGAGCACAUAAUUCCCAUUUGUGUUUGCGUGCAUGCAGGGCGAGGGUGGGAGCUGGAGGGGGAGGGGGGGCUGAAUAUAAGAAUGUAAUUGUCAUAAUUUAAUCCAAAACUACUUCUUGGAAGAAAAAAAAAUAGGCCAACACAAAACAGCAUGUUCAGUUAUAAACACCACAUGAAAGAGCUGUAUUAUGUUCAACUUGGUAACUGCCAUCUAACUUCAGUGUUCUCAGCUGUCCGCUUCUGGGCCAAGGUCUUUCCAGCACUCCCCCAGCCCCAAAGCAAACAAAGGCCCCCAGACAAACGGCAACACAGAUACCAAUUUCUGAGGCCACGGCAAAAUUCCACAUAGAAAGUUCAUUAUAGACAGAAGACACAGGCUGGUGGCUGGAGUGCCUGGGAGCACAGAGCCAUCUGGGACCCACGGCAUGCCCAGCCACGCUGGGGAGAGUGCCUGCAAAGCUCCUGCAAAGCCAUAAAAAAGCUGGCCUGUGCCAUGUGGGAUGCAGAGUGCUUUGUAACCAGAUUUCUCAGCGCUGACCAGUGUAUUCCCAGAGCCAGUCAAUGCUGGCAUCACAGCUGGUUUCUGAUGGAUGUGUGGGUUGGGAGCAAUCACAUCUGAGCGGUGAGGUACAGGGGCCCUUUUGUGCCCCUCCUUCUCCUCCCAGGCUCUCACGUGGUGUGAGUCAUCUGGUGCAAAGGAAGCAUAGUUACUCAGGCUUGGAUCCUUUAGAGGCGCUCACCUACUUUGGAUGACACUUGACCCAAAAUGCUCCCAGGAACGCCAGAGACUUGGCAUUGCUGAACAUGAUCCAGCAGUUGCCCGGGUGACUAAGAAGGCCAGUGGCAUCCUGCCUUGGAUCAGAAAUAGCAUUGUCAGGAGCAGGGAGGAGAUCAUCCCUCUGUACUCGGCUCUGGUGAGGCCACACUUCAAGUACUGUGUUCA